rnacentral:rRNA from 1 species
AUGGCUUGCUCCGCCCAUCUUCUCUCGCAGAGCCUGUACCAGUCCCACCGCUCCUGCCCGGCCCCGUCCAAGCACCUCCGGUUCCAGGCCCGACCCGCGGCGGCGGCUUCCGCCGGCGUCAGCUCCAGCUCCAGCACCAGGAGCCGACGGUCUCCAAGCGUAAGAGUCGCCGCGUCGGCCGAGCAAGGGAGGAAGAAAAUCGAGCUUACGUAUGACGCACAAGCCAAGUUUAACCAGCUAGCCGACCAGAUUGACCAGGAUGUCGGGAUUACACGGCUCAACCUGUUCUCACCUUGCAAAAUUAAUGUCUUCUUGAGGAUAACCGGGAAGAGACCAGACGGGUUCCAUGACCUGGCUUCUCUGUUUCACGUGGUUAGUUUGGGUGAUACUAUCAAAUUCUCACUGUCGCCAAGUAAGAGCAAAGAUCGGCUAUCAACCAAUGUUGCAGGUGUCCCAGUUGAUGAUAGUAACCUGAUCAUCAGGGCACUUGACCUUUACCGCAAGAAAACUGGCACCGAUAAGCACUUUUGGAUACAUCUUGAUAAGAAGGUCCCAACUGGUGCUGGUCUUGGUGGAGGAAGCAGUAAUGCUGCAACUGCACUAUGGGCUGCUAACCAGUUUAGUGGUGGCAUUGCUUCAGAAAAAGAUCUUCAAGAAUGGUCUGGUGAGAUUGGAUCAGAUAUCCCCUUCUUCUUUUCACGAGGAGCAGCAUAUUGUACCGGUAGAGGAGAGAUUGUCCAAGAUAUUCCGAACCUGUUGCCAGAGAAUCUGCGAAUGGUUCUAAUAAAGCCACCUGAAGCAUGCGCAACCGCUGAGGUUUACAAGCGACUCCGGUUAGACCAGACUAGUAAAGCUGAUCCUCUGGCUUUGCUCAAGGAGAUUACGCAAAACGGAAUAUCACAAGAUGUCUGUGUAAAUGAUCUAGAGCCUCCAGCUUUUGAGGUGUUGCGUUCACUAAAGAAGUUGAAGAAACGAUUUAUUGCAUCCAACCGGGGAGAUUACAGCGCUGUUUUUAUGUCAGGAAGUGGAAGCACUAUAGUUGGAAUUGGUUCCCCAGAUCCACCUGCGUUUGUGUAUGACGAUGACGACUACAAGGAUGUUUUUGUGUCAGAGGCUCGCUUUCUCACUCGCGACGAGAAUGAGUGGUACAGGGAACCAAUGUCGUCGAAUGCCAGGUUUAGCAAAGAAGAUUCACUGUCAGAGGCAGCACCAGUCGUGGACUGA